GCCUCGAUAGCUCAGUUGGGAGAGCGUCAGACUGAAGAUCUGAAGGUCCCUGGUUCGAUCCCGAGCCGCGGCA
rnacentral:tRNA from 1 species